rnacentral:rRNA from 1 species
CACGUAGGGCGCAAGCGUUGUCCGGAAUUAUUGGGCGUAAAGAGCUCGUAGGCGGUUUGUCGCGUCGGCCGUGAAAUCUCCACGCUUAACGUGGAGCGUGCGGUCGAUACGGGCAGACUUGAGUUCGGUAGGGGAGACUGGAAUUCCUGGUGUAGCGGUGAAAUGCGCAGAUAUCAGGAGGAGCACCGGUGGCGAAGGCGGGACUCUGGGCCGAUACUGACGCUGAGGAGCGAAAGCGUGGGGAGCAAACAGG